UACGGAGGGUGCAAGCGUUAUCCGGAUUUAUUGGGUUUAAAGGGUCCGUAGGCGGAUCUGUAAGUCAGUGGUGAAAUCUCAUAGCUUAACUAUGAAACUGCCAUUGAUACUGCAGGUCUUGAGUAAAGUAGAAGUGGCUGGAAUAAGUAGUGUAGCGGUGAAAUGCAUAGAUACUACUUAGAGCACCAAUUGCGAAGGCAGGUCACUAUGUUUUAACUGACGCUGAUGGACGAAAGCGUGGGGAGCGAACAGG
rnacentral:rRNA from 1 species